CGAUACUUUGAUCCUGUUUGGAAAAGAAGCAUCAAAAUGAAGGCUGCUGUUAUUCUUGCUGUUCUUGCUGUGGUGCUAUGCGCCAGCACUGUCAACUGUGAGUGUAUUUGUCCCCUCAGCUUGGAACCAGUGUGUGACACCGCCGGCAACUACUACGACAGUCCCUGCAGUUUGAACUGCGUUGAGGGUGCCGUUCAGGCCGCA
rnacentral:lncRNA from 1 species